GAAAUGUAGUACUGUAAGUCGCUCUGGAUAAGAGCGUCUGCUAAAUGACUAAAA
rfam:Salmo salar isolate Sally breed double haploid chromosome ssa03, whole genome shotgun sequence.